AUGAAUCGUUAUCAAGUCUCUCGCCCCCUUGCUCCUGCUCCUCACCUCCUGCUCUCUAGCCAAGAAAAAAAUCACCACCCACUUCCUGCCUACAAGGUGUUCGACCAAAUGUCCAGCCACGAAGAGUUGUUCACCGGCGGCGUUCUUCACGUCACUGUGCAUCAUGUGUACUACCCGGUCACUGAGGAGACGCUGCAACAGGUGUUUACAUUGUAUGGUGUGGUGAAGAUCUCCAUGUUCCAGAGAAUCAACCAUGUGGAGGCAGUGGUUCAGCUUCGAUCAAGACGCGGAGCAGCGCGGGCUCUUGCCAUGCAUGGUCGGUGCAUCUAUGAGCGUGCCUGCCUCCUCGACAUCCAGGAUGUGUCACCGGAGUACAACCUGCACUUGUGCUCGCUGCUCGAGCAGAAGCAGACUGCAACCGUGGUCGAGUACACGACGGUGUUCUGGGAAUGCGUACAUCGUGUGCUGGAUCUCAACCCCAACCUGAGCAUCAAGAGUUUUGUCCACCAAUACAUUGAGGGUUUGCAGGAAGAUAUCAAGGAUGUCGUGCGGUCGCAAUCUCCAUUAAGCAUCACCGGGACUUCGUCCCUUGCCCGGAUAAGGGAGGAUGAAAUCGUGCAGGAGGCGGCAAUGGCUGCGGAGAAACUUGAUGACGGCCAUGGAGUUCACGUCCUCAUGCCUACGGUGAUCCUCACGGACGUCUUCCUUGAGCCCACUACCCCAGUGGAGUGCAGUGCAGAUGACAACAUCAUCACCAUUGACAGCAGCAACCAUGCUGCACCGACACCUAUCACAUGUUUGACAGAGUGCCCAAGUCCCGCCGCCGUUGACAUCUCCCCUGAGCCGGCAGCUUCUGCUCUAUGCGGAGAGACCAUCGACAUCGAAGCCAUCAGUGUUGCUGCACCAACAUUCGAUGUGUGCUCUAUUGUUGGUCCGACCAAUGCUGAAGUCAACAGUUAUGUGCCGGUGCCCCUCAUUGUGUGCAGUGUCAAACCAUUCUCCGCAGCUCCUCUCAAGGUCGUGCCAACCAUAGCGCAUUGGUCAUGUUCCACCCCCAAACUGGACACCAUGGCGUCAACAAGGUGUUGGACCCUCUGCUUCGACCACAUUGGUGCGUUGACGCCCACGUACAUGCUGGAUAAUAAUGUGAACAUAAAGCAACAAGCACAAAUGUUACUACCAAUGCCAUGGCCAUCAUUUAAAUGCCAUUCAGAAGCAAGCAGUCCUCAAGAUCCACGUCCAGCAACUCAAGGUAUAUUUGGGAAACUAUCUACAUGUCAGCCACACGAGGAUCUCAAAUGUUGGGCUGCCAGUUUGGUAUUGCAUUGGAAUAGCUCAUUUGAUGGACACUAUUUACAACUACUUGCUGCACUGAGAAGUUCCCGGUGUGAGUUAUAUUGUAUUGGGGGCCCCUGUGGUUAUUGGCAAUAUGCAUAUCCACAGCAGUGGCGUUCAUCUCAGCGAGAAAGUUAUACGAAUUUUGGGAGGGCUGGCGAAGCUACAUUGAACACAAAACAAAAAUCACAAAUUUUAUUAAGUGGCAUUCUUGUGGAAUUUGUGAGUAGGCGAACCCCCGGAGUCGGCUAUUUCUGCCAAACAUCUGACCAGAAGAACAAAAGGCUUAAUUACAUUCUUGAAGCGGGUGAACAAGUUAUGAGAUGUGGUCUGCAAAAAGUAGCGUUCUUGCCUUCCUGA
rnacentral:rRNA from 1 species